rnacentral:misc_RNA from 1 species
UUUCCGUAGGUGAACCUGCGGAAGGAUCAUUAUUGUAUAACCGAGGUGCGAGGGCUGUCGCUGACCCGAAAGGUCGUGCACGCCCGAGUGCCCUCACACACAUCCAUCUCCACCCUAUGUGCACCACCGCGUGGGUCCCCCUUUGGCUUGUUCGGAGGGGGGCUUACGUUUUCACACAAACUUUGUAUGCAGUGUAGAAUGUAUUUUUUGUUUUUGCGAUCACGCAAUCAAUACAACUUUCAACAACGGAUCUCUUGGCUCUC